rnacentral:lncRNA from 1 species
GGAGUGAUUCAAGAUUGAUAAUCCAGGCGCCGCCGAGGUCAGAAAGGAAGUGAAAGUUGGUUCCGCCUGGAGGCGAGUGUCAAGAGCGAAGCAGAACGCCAGUGCCACGUAUCAGAGUGACUUUGUUUCAUGAUAUGAUUCAUCGUGGAAUCAAAUGCCAUGUUGAGGACAUGAUGACAAAAUCCCAAGCAGAAGAGGGCAUCCGGUGGAUUCGGGACAAGUCGUUUGACCAGAUCAAGACAACUCAGACUGAGGUUGCGUCCGAAUCAGUGCACUUGUGGAGUGCUGUCCGGUAAGUUGCCGAGGCUUAUUGUGAACGAAAGAGGAAUCGAGGUCGAUCCUGUGAAAAAAAAAAGAAAAGAGAAAAAAAAAAGAAAAGAAAAGAAAAAUGCAAAAAAUGCCUGAACCGAAGAAAAAAGAGAACAAGCGGUCAGAUGGAUAAUGGUUGCCAAAGGGCAUUGAGAAAAAAAAGUUGCAGAAAC